rnacentral:lncRNA from 1 species
ACAAUACCUCAUUUAGAUGUUUUUUUCUUCAUCAACCGCCUUAAAUUCCACAAGGAUCAUCAAUUUUUAUUUCUAUUCAAACAACACCUCAUUUAAUGGAUGGAGUGUACCUGCAUACACUUUGAGAAUUAAGUAAAUUUAUGUGUUAGAAUAGAAGGUUUUUAGUUAAAUCAUCAAGAAGAAAUAUGUUGCAUGAUCCAAAGUGUGUGCAAUUUAUGUUUCCUAAAAUUUCUAGAAGAAAAUUGUUAAGGUUAUGAGUUGCAUGAUCCAAGAUUCACAGAUGCGUGUUCUUACUGAUAGACGAUAAUUUAUGCUAUUGUGUUGUCUUAAGAGGAUGUCUAGGUGAAUUACGAUGGUCAAUCACCUCAGAUCCAUUUACAUAUGUUGUUAGGUCUUAGUUCAAGAAUGUGUCAUGUUUACAUGUAGUUGGACCUGAGUCUGACCCACCAUAGUUGCCCUCCAAGUCGUCGACUACUAGAGUUAAAGGAUGACUUGAGUUUGAAUGUUUUAAUUGUUCUCAAAUGAAUUUUCAUGGGGUCCAUAUGUGUCAGGUUGCCUGAGUUAGAUUUGAAUUUGUCCUCUAGAGAGUCAUAUUGGGAUCGAUGACUUGACCCGAAGUGACAUUUGGAUUUUUAUUUAAUGACACGUGGACCCUCUGUCAAAAAUUUUGAUUACCCUAUUUAGUUUCAAGUGCCUAAGUCGCGCCGUUCGAGGAAGAAUUACGACCGUUAGAUGAAAAUGAGGCCCUCAAAUCUGAGAUAAUAAAUAGGAGGAAAAAUUUGUGGUUCUCUUAUGGUUCUUUGCAUUCAUCUCUCAAGAGACUCGUUUGGACUCACCAAAGCUUUCUUCAAACAUUCAUUGCACUUUAAGAUAACUUCCUCUUUCUCUUUGUGAUCCUGGUUUCUUGCAUUUUUCUUUCAAUGAUGUUUUGUUCUUUUUUUAUAUAUGGUAGCCUUUAACUUCCACCAUAGAGGUUAACAUAACAGGAUUAUAG